rnacentral:rRNA from 1 species
AGACCCGAAACCCGGUGAUCUAGCCAUGGGCAGGUUGAAGGUUGGGUAACACUAACUGGAGGACCGAACCGACUAAUGUUGAAAAAUUAGCGGAUGACCUGUGGCUGGGGGUGAAAGGCCAAUCAAACCGGGAGAUAGCUGGUUCUCCCCGAAAGCUAUUUAGGUAGCGCCUCGUGAAUUCAUCUCCGGGGGUAGAGCACUGUUUCGGCUAGGGGGCCAUCCCGGCUUACCAACCCGAUGCAAACUGCGAAUACCGGAGAAUGUUAUCACGGGAGACACACGGCGGGUGCUAACGUCCGUCGUGAAGAGGGAAACAACCCAGACCGCCAGCUAAGGUCCCAAAGUCAUGGUUAAGUGGGAAACGAUGUGGGAAGGCCCAGACAGCCAGGAUGUUGGCUUAGAAGCAGCCAUCAUUUAAAGAAAGCGUAAUAGCUCACUGGUCGAGUCGGCCUGCGCGGAAGAUGUAACGGGGCUAAACCAUGCACCGAAGCUGCGGCAGCGAACGUAUCACCCAAGACAACUUUACGGAGUUGACGAUUGACGGAGCGAAGCGACGUCAAAGCGUUCAUUAAAGUCGAGUUGGCUUAGGGAUACGUUCGUUGGGUAGGGGAGCGUUCUGUAAGCCUGUGAAGGUGUGUCGUGAGGCAUGCUGGAGGUAUCAGAAGUGCGAAUGCUGACAUAAGUAACGAUAAAGCGGGUGAAAAGCCCGCUCGCCGGAAGACCAAGGGUUCCUGUCCAACGUUAAUCGGGGCAGGGUGAGUCGACCCCUAAGGCGAGGCCGAAAGGCGUAGUCGAUGGGAAACGGGUUAAUAUUCCCGUACUUGGUGUUACUGCGAAGGGGGGACGGAGAAGGCUAUGUUGGCCGGGCGACGGUUGUCCCGGUUUAAGCGUGUAGGUGUGUGUUCCAGGUAAAUCCGGUUCACUUUAACACUGAGGCGUGACGACGAGGCACUACGGUGCUGAAGCAACAAAUGCCCUGCUUCCAGGAAAAGCC